CAGCACCUCAAGUGGUCAGGAUGAUUAUUGGGCCUAAAGCAUCCGUAGCCGGCCCUGUAAAUUUUCGGUUAAAUCUGUACGCUCAACGUACAGGCUGCCGGGAAUACUGCAGAGCUAGGGAGUGGGAGAGGUAGACGGUACUCGGUAGGAAGGGGUAAAAUCCUUUGAUCUAUUGAUGACCACCUGUGGCGAAGGCGGUCUACCAGAACACGUCCGACGGUGAGGGAUGAAAGCUGGGGGAGCAAACCGGAUUAGAUACCCGAGUAGUCC
rnacentral:rRNA from 1 species